UGCCUAAUACAUGCAAGUCGAGCGAAUGGAUUAAGAGCUUGCUCUUAUGAAGUUAGCGGCGGACGGGUGAGUAACACGUGGGUAACCUGCCCAUAAGACUGGGAUAACUCCGGGAAACCGGGGCUAAUACCGGAUAACAUUUUGAACCGCAUGGUUCGAAAUUGAAAGGCGGCUUCGGCUGUCACUUAUGGAUGGACCCGCGUCGCAUUAGCUAGUUGGUGAGGUAACGGCUCACCAAGGCAACGAUGCGUAGCCGACCUGAGAGGGUGAUCGGCCACACUGGGACUGAGACACGGCCCAGACUCCUACGGGAGGCAGCAGUAGGGAAUCUUCCGCAAUGGACGAAAGUCUGACGGAGCAACGCCGCGUGAGUGAUGAAGGCUUUCGGGUCGUAAAACUCUGUUGUUAGGGAAGAACAAGUGCUAGUUGAAUAAGCUGGCACCUUGACGGUACCUAACCAGAAAGCCACGGCUAACUACGUGCCAGCAGCCGCGGUAAUACGUAGGUGGCAAGCGUUAUCCGGAAUUAUUGGGCGUAAAGCGCGCGCAGGUGGUUUCUUAAGUCUGAUGUGAAAGCCCACGGCUCAACCGUGGAGGGUCAUUGGAAACUGGGAGACUUGAGUGCAGAAGAGGAAAGUGGAAUUCCAUGUGUAGCGGUGAAAUGCGUAGAGAUAUGGAGGAACACCAGUGGCGAAGGCGACUUUCUGGUCUGUAACUGACACUGAGGCCGCGAAAAGCGUGGGGAAGAAAACAAGAUUAGAUACCCUGGUAGUCCACNCCGUAAA
rnacentral:rRNA from 1 species